rnacentral:rRNA from 1 species
AAUUUGAGUACACCCGGGGUUCCUACAUGUGCAGUGAAGGCUUUCCGGUUUAGGUAAAACUCGUCGCGAAAGCAUGCCGGCAGUUUAUUUUUUGUUUUUAACCCCGACUUCGGAAGAUUCCGAAAUUAUUUGGCACCCAAGGGGGCCCCGGGGCAAUUCUGGCCCCCCCCCAAAAAAAACCUUAUCUUUGGAGGGGGGAAAGAUGCUGACACCCCGGCACACUUUCCGCCCUAAAAGGGUUGGGCGCCAAAUGCGUUUAAAAAUCGCUGGUCACGGGAUUUUCAAUUCACCCCCCAUAUUGCAAAUCUUGAAGUAAAAAAWMGUAWMAARGUUUCCGUAGGUGAACCUGCGGAAGGAUCAUUG